rnacentral:rRNA from 1 species
AUACGGAGGGUGCAAGCGUUGUUCGGAAUUAUUGGGCGUAAAGCGCGCGUAGGCGGGCUGUUAAGUCUGAUGUGAAAUCCCUCGGCUCAACCGAGGAACUGCAUUGGAUACUGGCAGUCUUGAGUCUCGGAGAGGAAAGCGGAAUUCCCAGUGUAGAGGUGAAAUUCGUAGAUAUUGGGAGGAACACCAGCGGCGAAGGCGGCUUUCUGGACGAUGACUGACGCUGAGGUGCGAAAGCAUGGGUAGCAAACAGGAUUAGAAACCCCAGUAGUCC